rfam:Schistosoma curassoni strain Dakar, Senegal genome assembly, scaffold: SCTD_scaffold0001051
ACCUUGCUGACGAGUGCCAAAUAGCACGAAACUGAAGUUCAAGGU